rnacentral:tRNA from 1 species
GGGCGUGUAGCUCCGUGGUACUGGUAGAGUGCUUGCUUAGCAUGCAUGAGUCCUUGGGUUCAAUCCCAGCACUGCCA